rnacentral:lncRNA from 1 species
GUUCUGUAGGAUCAAAUACAGGGGUCGAAUUUAAGCUUUUUUGUAUACUGGCCAGCCAGACCAGUGGACUAAAAAUCUACUGGUCCGGCUUAAAAUUUACUGGUUCUGCAAAAAUGACAUUCAUUUGAUAACCACUAAAAGAUAUGACGGAUGUUUAGUUUUAUUUUUUUUUCUCAGCUGCUUUCCUCUUCUUUAUUUCAGUAGAUUUUUGUGCUGUUCUGUUUGUUCAUGAGCAAGUACAAAAUCUUUUUAAAAUUUUAAGAUCCCGUUACAAAAAUACAUUUCUCAUCUAGGUUUGUCACUGCAAAUUGUUCACAUGUUUUACAAUGCAUUACAUUACAAUCGACUUUACAAUUUAACCAUUCGAGAUCUUUUUCCCAGGAUAUUUUAUAUUUACAUUUUUUUUUUUGUCAGUUUGAAAAAUCUUCCUUUUGAAUGUCGCUUAAUUAAUUAAUUUGUUUUGCCCUGCGUUUUAACGCCAUUAAAAAAUUUCCACAUUUUGUGUUGUUGUGUAGUGCGCUCAUUUGAGAUAUUAAUUAAAUACUUUUAAAAUAGUACCGCCAGUACCCUAAAAAUAAUUUCUAAUGUUUAUGUUUUUGUAAACAAACCAAGAUAGAGAUGCAAUCAGUGAUUAACGAAAAAUUUCUACUGGUCCGCCGGACCACCAGCUGACAAAAUCUACUGGUCCCACACAAAUUCUACUGGUCUCGGACCACCGGACCAGCGCCAAUUUCGACCCCUGAUCAAAUAUAAUAUAGGAGGGUAAGGAAAAGUUUUAAAGAAUAGAGAAUAAUGCAUGUAAUGUUCACAAUACAUUUAUAAAUAAAGAAAAUAGACAUACAUGUAACAAUGAAGAAAAACGGGUUGUUAAAUUAUAAGAAGUACAGAAAAAUUGAAAAAAAAUAAAAAAAAAUAAAUAGAGAUAAAUGGUAUACAGAAUUAGAUAGGAAUUAAAUGAAGGACCCUCAAUCCAGACCAUCGGUAAGAAAGGUAGUUUUGUGAAAUGAUUCAUUUUUAAAAAUAAUUCAUACAGUCUAGAUCCGGCUAACUUGUUUAACCCCGCCACAUUAUUUAUGUAUGUGUCUGUCCCAAGUCAGGAGCCUGUAAUUCAGUGGUUGUCAUUUGUUUAUGUGUUACAUAUUUGUUUUUCAUUAUUUUUUUUAUACAAAUAAGGCCGUUUGUUUUCUUGUUUGAAUUGUUGUACAUCAUGUACAUUGUCAUAUCUGGGCCUUUCAUUGCUGACUAUAUAUGCGGUAUGGGCUUUGCUCAUUGUUGAAGGACGUACGGUGACCUAUAGCUGUUUAUGUCUGUGCCAUUUUGGUCUCUUUUGGAUACAUUGAAGUUGUCUAAUUGGCAAUCAUACCACAUCUUUUUUAUAUAGAUGGGUUUUGUUCUAACAUGUCUAAAUUUUAAGUGUGCAUGCUUAACCAAAAAUGUUAUAACUGGAAUUCGGACAAAAUCAACUGCAUUCACAUUCGAAUACUCCAGGUUUACAACAAGAAAAUUAUGUUUGCAUAUACAUGUAAUUAUAUAAACCCCCUACUUUCAUGAAUCAUGACCUUUUCUCCCAG